rnacentral:piRNA from 1 species
GAGAGGUGAUUAGAUGAUGGAUUUUAGAUGU